rnacentral:lncRNA from 12 species
GUAUUAUGUAGAAGUGCUUUAGGCUGUAACCACUAGAUGGGAGUCAAGAUCUUCCGUUACCGCACCUGUCACGCGCUCGUUUAGGUCUGUCAAUUAUGCACCAAAAAACAUUUUCAUAAAGUGUUCUUUAAUACAUGCAGACACCUAAACAAUUUAAAAACAAGCACACUUUUUCAAAUCUUACAUUGACACUGCAUGGUGUCUGAUUCACGAGGCGGAGCUUUUAGAGCAACAACUCUGACGUAAUGCGCGGUGACAUCACAUCAGGGCGAGUCCAGAAGGCAGCGCAAAUGAAAGAAUUGCGGAGACCACUGUGUAUCAAAACACUGCUCUGCAUACUACCUUCAAAUCAUGGAGCAUAUCGGUGAAUGAAACGCUGUGUGGUGGACUAUAUCAGGCAGAUGGAUGGCUGGUGGGUUGUUGGUCGUGUUUGUUAGAGCCUGAGUCAGAAGCAGUCGUCCACCCCUUCAGACCCAAACUGCAGCCCACUACCGGCUGCUUUGCCUAUACCACAGCCAAAAACCCUCCAUCUGCCACGGAUGUGAGUAUUUGCAUCCUCGUUCACCCUCAUUCUCCUGUCUGUGUAUCAGGAUUCAAUCGUGUUGUGCAGUCCCAGCCUUUGCAGCCAAACACUGAAUAGGAAGUUGCUCGACGGAAACUGCAUUCAGCAGAUUUUGUAGUACUAUGUUUGCACUUAUGUUAUUUGCAUAAUUCCUUUAGUGAACUGGAUACUAAAACAACACAGAAAGAGCAAAUAAAUGACGCUAUCACUGGGCCUGGUUUAUUUUUUUUUACACUCUCCGAAAAAAAGGUUCAGUAGCUGUCACUUGGGCAGUACCUUUUCAAAAGGUACACCUUUGUAUAGAUGUGGCCAUGUGACUCCAGUGUUUAUCUCAAUUUCAUGAAGUGACAUGAGUGCUUUGUUUCUUUUUAUAAUGAAAGCUUUGUGCUAAUAUGCUUAAAAAUAACAACACUAAAUUAAUCACCACUGUAAUUAAUGUAAUUCACUAUGGUGUUUUUAUAUAUUUAUUUUUA